CCUCCUCUGUCUUUUUUUCUAUUACCUUAAAGUUAAAAAUGAAUGACUCAUACCAUUAAUGGUGUUAUUAGAAUUUUCUGGUUCAGGUACUAUCUUCCCAGUUUACAGGUAUGCUACAUCAGUUUUGGGUUAUUUGCUCAAAAUACUUAUUUGCCUCACAUAUUGAUUCUAUUAGGUAAAGAAAAUCAGCAUUGGCUUCUCUGCAGUCUGUGAACACCCAGAGCAGAGAAAAAAUGUUCAUCAUUUUUUAACCGAGUAGAGGAGGAACUUGGCACUAUUAGUGAUGCUGAGUCAACAAAAAAGGUUUCAUAAGCUAUGCAGAUUGGAGCGCGAGCAAUUAAAGAAGUAAGAUCAGUGUGGAAGAUGUUGAUCUAUGAUUAAGAGAUCUCGAAGAGAGUAUUGGUUCACAGAAGGAAGUUUAAAAGGCGCUAGGUAUAUUUCGUCAAAUAUUUUAUACCACAUAUUUGAAUUGUGCUUUUGCAUUUUUUAUGCUGAAAUGAAUUGUUUGUGAUACUAACUUGAGGGAAUUUCAAGAUCGUCAGGAUGUUUGUAUCUCUGAUGUCAACAAUUAAGAUUUUGAUUUCUUAAGCAUGUUGCCUUGUGUCUUUAGAGCAAACUCCACCACACACAGAUAUGGAUGAAGAAGAUGUUGAAGAGGAAUUCAAUAUACCCUGUAGUAUUUAUAGAUGUAGCUCCUGUGAAGAACAAAUAUACCUUGUACGUAUUUAUUUUAAAAACAUUGAAAACUUACAUUCUCUCCUCCUGCAACCUUUUUCUUCUUUUUCAUUUACCAUUAAAAACCAACAGGGUUUUAUUCCAUGUGAUGAAGGUCCACCUUAAGUUAAAUAUGUUCUGUCAAUUGUGGUAGUGGUUUGCAAUUUUACGGUGGCCUCAAAAGCUAAAAAUAAUUCUAUUAAAACUUCAUGAGGUAGACUUUAAUUACAGAGCAAUUGGUUCUUAUAUUAAUUAAGGUGGUGUUUAGUUUUCCCAAAUAAAUCAGUUCAAUAGCCAAACCUGCAUAUUGUCAUUCACAGAUUGAGUUGUCAUUUAUAAAGUAUAAAUUGAAUAACAUUUAUGUUAUUACUUUUUAAAAUUUGUUUAUUUAAUAUUUUAUACUUCACUAUUAUCCUGGGUGUGAGGCAUAUCCUUAGAGAUCAGCCACAAAUGCUAUGGACUGCUAUUGACAUGCCUGGAGAAUGAGUCAGGGUUUUAUUGGAUGGGUUUGCAAAAUAGUAGUAUUGUUUUUUCAUGGUGGGGUUGGAGGAGUGUGUUUUAUGCUCCUUUGCACAGAUCCGAUGCAAUGGUGUAUGGGAGUUUUACAGGCAUGGGGACACAGGCUGUAAAACAACAUUU